rnacentral:rRNA from 1 species
AGGUGCGAUCAUACCAGCACUAAUGCACCGGAUCCCAUCAGAACUCCGCAGAUAAGCAUGCUUGGGGGAGAGUAGUACUAUGAUGGGUGACGUAGUGGGAAGUCCUCGUGUUGCACUUC